rnacentral:lncRNA from 1 species
AUGAACUUGACCCCUCUUCAAACCAGGAGAGGGGACCCCCCGAGGGAGGCAGCCCCCCAAGGAGCACCCUGGCAGCACCCCGAGGUGCUCCUCCCCAGCACCACAAGUGGGGCAGAGCCGGCAGCCUGUCCUCGCCCACCCCGGUACCCUGGAUCGUGUGUGUGGGCCCCGGUGUUUCCGCAAGGGGCUGAAUCUGGGUGUGUUUUUUGUGCCACGACACCAGAACGGGUCCCUCCGGGGCUCUGCAGGGUGAGGGGCACCUCCAGCCCCACCGACUCCGGGGUGGGCUGUUGCAGUCUCCAUCAUCCUGCAUCCCACCCUCAUCCCUGGCUGGCAGAGAAGGGGGUUCCCCAGAGACCCUCCGUGGGCAGGGGGUGCUGGGCCUCUCCUGCCACUGCCAAGGCUGAGGGGCUGGUGCUCCUGUGGUGUCCCCCGUCUGCGGUGUCCCCCGUCUGCCACCGACUUUACCGUCAAAGGACCCCCGAAGAGGGGGGACGUCCUGCAGCCCCUCCCCAGCCCGGGCCCUUGUCCUCAUCAGCCUCCGUCCUGCGGGCUGGGGGCUGCAGGGGCACGUGUGGCCCUGGAGCAUCUCGGGGACCUCGGAGCAUCCUCUCCUGCGCCCUCCGGUCCAGGCGAGCGUGGGCUGGGCUGGGGGAGCCCUCUGGUGGCGACGUGCCGGGCUGGAGCCUGGCCGUGCCAAGGAGCGGGGUUGUGCCUGUCGGUCCGACUGUGCUGAGCUUCCCACACCAGCAUCCCCCGGCGAUGCUCAGCACCACCCGGACUGGUCCCAGGGGAGGAUGCUCCUGGGUCCCUCUGGGAGUUGGGGGACCCAUCCCUGGGUCUCCUUCUGCCGGCUUUUUCUCACCCCACUGCAAAGCCAGGCCAGACCCCGCAUGGAGCUCACCCAGCCUGGGGUGUCCCUGGAGGGGACAGGGACCAGCCCCUGUGUCCCUGCAGUGGGGCAGAGAACUGCUCUUGUGUCCCAGAGAUGGGCAAGGGACCAGUUACCGUGUUGGGACAUCGAGUGGUGCACAUGGUGGGACAGGAUGGGGCUGGGACAGACGCAGGACUGAGCAUCUCUGGGGUGGGACCGGGAGCAGCCACGUGUCCCCACGGCGGGGCAGGGUCAGCGGGAGGGAGCUCAGGGGGCACUCGCCGUGUCCAUCAUCUCCAUGUGAUGGGACCCCCGACUCGCACAUGAAGGUUGGGAUGUUCCCAACCCUUGGGGACAGGCCAGGGUGGCGUGUGGGACAUGGGGAGGAGGUUGGUGGGAUGGAGGGGUGCAGGGACCGGCGGCCU